UUUCGUUCUCGGGGCGGGGUGCAAUUCCCCACCGGCGGUAUAGAGAUAAUCUAAGCCCGCGAGCGCUCAGUGUUAGCUAUGUUUAUCAUGCACCACGCUGAGGACAGCAGAUCUGGUGAGACUCCAGAGCCGACGGUAAUAGUCCGGAUGAUAGAGAGCGCGU
rnacentral:ncRNA from 1 species